GAGCGCCCCGCAAGGGGAGCGGCAGACGGGAGAGUAACACGUGGGAACGUACCCUUCGGUUCGGAACAACCCCAGGGAAACUUGGGCUAAUACCGGAUACGUCCGUAAGGAGAAAGAUUCAUCGCCGAGGGAUCGGCCCGCGUCUGAUUAGCUAGUUGGUGAGGUAAUGGCUCACCAAGGCGACGAUCAGUAGCUGGUCUGAGAGGAUGAUCAGCCUCACUGGGACUGAGACACGGCCCAGACUCCUACGGGAGGCAGCAGUGGGGAAUAUUGGACAAUGGGCGCAAGCCUGAUCCAGCCAUGCCGCGUGGGUGAUGAAGGCCCUAGGGUUGUAAAGCCCUUUCGGCGGGGAAGAUAAUGACGGUACCCGCAGAAGAAGCCCCGGCUAACUUCGUG
rnacentral:rRNA from 1 species